GCAUUCUUAUACGGUUAAAAACAAUGAGGAACAUAUAUUUUUAAUCUAUAAAAUAAAAUCAAACAGACCUAUAAAAAUCCAAUUGCACGUGUUGGUUUAAUCUAUUCAUAUCUUUAUUUAUGUUUACAUCGCUUAUAUGGUCAUCUGAGAUCAAAUCGAUAGUUAAUUAGAUGGCGUCUGGACUAAAAUACACACGAAACGAACCUAUAUAUUAUAUACCCCAUGCUCUGUAAACUGUUUAUUUUAGACUUUUGAUAGUUUGGAUAAAUGUUUUACAUUGUUAUAAAUCAACUACGAGAAUUUGAUUCAAAUCGGUGACCAUGAAUUUGACAGCUAGUGCCCCUUUAACA
rnacentral:lncRNA from 1 species